GAAUUUAUGUUGAAAAUAGCUAUGUAAUUUGGUUUUCAAUACUUUAUUUUGCUUGUGGUUCCAAGACGCUCAGACUUAUCUCUGUGUAAUGCUGCAGACGCCCCAGAAUGUGAUUGUCUGCUUGUGCACUUUUUUCCGGUGGAUUGCCCACCUGUGACAAUUUGUUUCUUAUCACACUUUUCCGUGAUUGAUAAUAUUAUGUAUGUCGUGGCCCUUAUGGUUAGAGCCACUGGGGCUACAGUCACGGUUGUUAGCCCUGGAGGUUUUUCUCAGCUGCUCCUAGCCUGGGGAGCACACCCUGACCAAAAGCUAUUUUAGCAGUAUUUUUCAUUUCCUGUGACAGAUUAUUAUACAGUUCUUCUGUGUGGAGGCACACAGCCUCAGCAAGUUUGAAGAAAAUCAUUAUUCAGUCAGGCUGUGUUCAAAAUAUUGUUUUUUUUUUUACUAGUUUCAGGAGCCACCAAUACUCAAGAUUUGCACUCUUGGAGUGCAGCAGAGUCCACCCAGCACUCCAGUUUCCCCCAUUACUGCACUAUUCUGAGGAGGUGUGCGAGUGAAACAACUGUAUGAUGAAGGCUGCACAUAUGGGGAAAUUAGGAAGAUGUGUUUGCAACACAGUGUGAUUACUUUUAAGAGGUUUUACCAUGAACUCCUGGGCUCCAGAAGAAAAUGCAAACAAUCUUAUUGUUCAGUUUUAUUGUGUUGCAACAAGUCAAAUGACGAUUUGUAUCUUGGAUGAAAUGAAGAGAAACUCUCAAUAAACAUAUUGCUAUUCAAGUGAACAGUGCUCGGGGGAAGAUCAGUUUGGACUCCAUAGAAAUAUUGGAACACGUGAGGCAAUACUGCCCCUACAACUUAUCUUAGAAGAUAGAUUAAGGAAAGGCAAACUUACAUUUCUAGCAUUUGUAGACUUAGAGAAAGCUUUUGACAGUGUUGACUGGAAUACUCUCUUUCAAAUUCUGUAGGUGGCAAAGGUAAAAUACAGGGAACGAAAGGCUAUUUACAAUUUGUACAGAAACCAGAUGGCAGCUAUGAGUCGAGGGAUAUGAAAGGGAAGCAGUGGUUGGGAAGGGAGUGAGACAGGGUUGUAGCCUAUCCCCGAUGUUAUUCAAUCUGUAUAUUGAGCAAGCAGUAAAGGAAACAAAAGAAAAAUUCGAAGUUCUAAUUAAAAUCCAUGGAGAAGAAACAAAAACUUUGAGGUUCGCCGAUGACAUUGUAAUUCUGUCAGAGACAGCAAAGGACCUGGAAGAGCAGCUGAACGGAAUGGACAGUGUCUUGAAAGGAGGAUAUAAUAUGAACAUCAACAAAAGCAAAAUGACGACAAUGGGAUGUAGUCGAAUUAAGUCGGGUGAUGCUGCGGGAAUUAGAUUAGGAAAUGAGACGCUUAAAGUAGUAAACGAGUUUUGCUUUUUGGGGAGCAAAAUAACUGAUGAUGGUCGAAGUAGAGAGGAUAUAAAAUGUAGACUGGCAAUGGCAAGGAAAGCAUUUCUGAAGAAGAGAGAUUUGUUAACAUUGAGUAUAGAUUUAAGUGUCAGGAAGUCGUUUCUGAAAGUAUUUGUAUGCAGUAUAGCCAUGUAUAGAAGUGAAACAUGGACGAUAAAUAGUUUGGACAAGAAGAGAAUAGCUUUCGAAAUGUGGUGCUACAGAAGAAUGCUGAAGGUUAGAUGCGUAGAUCACAUAACUAUUGAGCAGGUGUUGAAUAGAGUUGGGGAGAAGAGGAGUUUGUGGGACAACUUGACUAAAAGACUACCUCCCCUCCUUACUGAGUAAGUUCUCAGCAAAGAGAUUAAAAUCCAACAUCUUUUGUUCUCAGUUUGUUUCGUUUGCGUGUGUUUGUGAUACCGAAAGUUUUUCUCAAGUCAUUUCUGUGCCGAAAUGGAAGACUCAAAAUUAGCCUUUGUCAACAUUAUGAAAGAUUACCCCGCAAUCAUCAGUAAAUCGCAAACUCUGGCCGCAAGAAGAGAGAAGGCGGAUUGUAUUAAAGAAAUACAACACCGUUAUAUGGUUAGUUUCGGUAAAGAAAUUACGGACGGGCAGAUAAUGAAGAAACUGCACAACAUGAAAUCCUGUAUCAAGGCCAAGACGGAUGUUAAUAAGACGGGAAACAUUAAGAUUUCCCUGAAAAAUUGGGAGCAGACAUUUUUGAAGUUUUUGGAUGGAGAUGACUGCAACCCAACUAUCCACAGAGUUCCUGCUUGUGCAGUAGGUGGUGGUUCCACCUGUCAUCUCUUCAUCACGGAAUUUGGAGGUAGCUGACACAGACUGCACGUUGUAUGAACAAGAAUCAAUUUUGCAGCUACCACAAAUUGUUGCAGCUGACCAUAUGGAUCUCAUGGGCCCUGAAGUCGUCGUACCUUCUCAAUCGCCUGCUUCGGGGCAUGAGAGAGUGCCUAAAUGUCGGAGAUUAAGUAUGGAAACAGAUGACACUAAAUUUGUCUACUUCAGAGCUGCAAAGGCUGGUGCUAUUAUACCAAUUGGACAUAUUGAAAUGAAAGCAGCAGAAAUUGAUGCGUGAUGAAGAUAAACAAUAAAACAAAUUGUGUAGUGUCUUAUUUACGUACCGAAUUUUAUUAAUAAAAACAUCUUUUUUAAGUGAA